UUAGAUUUAGUUAGUGUUGAAGGUCAAUUAGUUUGGAAAUGUUUGCCAGUUAGGAAAAUUAGUUAUAUUGUUAUUUAAGAAACUGUUAAUGAAGAAGUUAGUUAAGUGUUAAAAUGCGUGAACUGUAAGUGAUUGAAUCAGUUAGAAAUUAGGAGGUUAUGCUGGUUUCAAUUUGAAAGAAAAUGGUUAUGUUAGCUAAACCAAUUGGUACUUACAGUUAGGGAGUUAAC
rnacentral:lncRNA from 1 species